UGACAGAUAUGAAGAAUCCAGCCUUUGGAGC
rnacentral:piRNA from 1 species